UACGUAGGGUGCGAGCGUUAAUCGGAAUUACUGGGCGUAAAGCGUGCGCAGGCGGUUUUGUAAGCCAGAUGUGAAAGCCCCGGGCUUAACCUGGGAAUGGCAUUUGGGACUGCAAGGCUUGAGUGCGGCAGAGGAGACUGGAAUUCCCGGUGUAGCGGUGAAAUGCGCAGAGAUCGGGAGGAACACCCGUAGCGAAGGCGGCACUCUGGGCCGGUACUGACGCUGAGGAGCGAAAGCGUGGGGAGCAAACAGG
rnacentral:rRNA from 1 species